rnacentral:tRNA from 1 species
GGUGCGUUGGUCCAACGGUUACGACGCUAGACUGUCACUCUAGCAACAGGAGUUCAACUCUCCUACGCACCG